CCUACGGGUGGCAGCAGUGAGGAAUAUUGGUCAAUGGACGCAAGUCUGAACCAGCCAAGUAGCGUGCAGGAUGACGGCCCUCCGGGUUGUAAACUGCUUUUAGUUGGGAAUAAAAGGGGGCUCGUGAGCCCCGUAUUGUAUGUACCAUCAGAAAAAGGACCGGCUAAUUCCGUGCCAGCAGCCGCGGUAAUACGGAAGGUCCGGGCGUUCUCCGGAUUUAUUGGGUUUAAAGGGCGCGUAGGCCGGCUUUUAAGUCAGCUGUGAAAGUCCGCGGCUCAACCGUGGAAUUGCAGUUGAAACUGGAGGCCUGGAGUGGACACAGGGAAGGCGGAAUGCAUGGUGUAGCGGUGAAAUGCUUAGAUAUCGUGAAGAACUCCGAUCGCGAAGGCAGGUGGCCGGCGUGCAACUGACGCUGAGGCUCGAAAGUGCGGGUAUCGAACAGGAUUAGAUACCCUAGUAGUC
rnacentral:rRNA from 1 species